ACGCUCGACACCUACGGAGGCAGCAGUGGGGAAUAUUGCACAAUGGGGGAAACCCUGAUGCAGCGACGCCGCGUGAAGGAAGAAGUAUCUCGGUAUGUAAACUUCUAUCAGCAGGGAAGAAAAUGACGGUACCUGACUAAGAAGCCCCGGCUAACUACGUGCANCAGCCGCGGUAAUCUGAGGCGGGCUGGCAAGGC
rnacentral:rRNA from 1 species